rnacentral:rRNA from 1 species
UCCGGUAAGGGUACCUGCGGAAGGAUCAUUACACAUAUUCCAGGGGGUUGGAACCAGAGCAGAUGUAACCCAUGUGCUUUGACCUGCCCUGUCUGAAUAUUCUGCCCAUGUCUUUUUAUGCACUCGUCGUUUCCUUGGCAGGUCAGCCUGCCGACAGGACAUUCUACACUCUAUGUAAUUGCAAUCCGCGUCAGUAGUAUAAUGGAAUAAUUAAAACUUUCAACAACGGAUCUCUUGGUUCUGGCAUCGAUGAAGAACGCAGCGAAAUGCGAUAAGUAGUGUGAAUUGCAGAAUUCAGUGAAUCAUCGAAUCUUUGAACGCACAUUGCGCCCCUUGGUAUUCCAUAGGGCAUGCCUGUUCGAGCGUCAUUUGUUCUCUCAAGCUUUGCUUGGUGUUGGGCGUUUUGUCUCGCGUUGCGCGUAGACUCGCCUUAAAUCGAUUGGCAGCCGGCAUACUGGCCUUGUAGCGCAGCACAAUUUGCGCUUCUAGUCAUGUUAGUUAGCAUCCAUUAAGCCUCUAUAUUUGCUCUUGACCUCGGAUCAGGUAGGGAUACCCGCUGAACUUAAGCAUAUCAAAGGCGGGAGGAA